UUCUCGGGAAAAAAAUAUUGG
ensembl:piRNA 21ur-7283 ncRNA